rnacentral:lncRNA from 1 species
AAGAUAUCAGGGCACUGGUCAGACAGGGGAAACCUUCGAGUCGCUGUCACUCUUUCGGACGUAGCAUUUCAUCACCCACCUAGGCAGCGUGUGCGCCAAACAGCAGCAUCCCCUGGAAUGGCCGCAGAAGCAGCACUGGGCCCCUAACAGUUCCAGACAAAAAUCAGGGAGUGAUAGGGCACCGGCAGUGUCUGGUCUUGGGAACCACACAUUUCACUCCCCACCAACUGACCCCACACUCUCAGCCCCAUGCCCCUACCCCAAGACUACCUGCUGGCCAGAUACUCCCAGACCUUUUCUCUUACUCAUUACCUCUCACCUGGGGAGGGAGCAAUUGAGGCUUUUAGUAACCUCAGUCAAUGUAAUGAUACAAACUUAUCGGUUGAAAAUAUGCAUAUUUAAAUUUCUUUUACGUCUAAAUGUUUUGCGAAUAUUGAACUAUAGAUAUUCCAUUGUAUUGUUCUGACUCAAUCAUCGUUUGCCCCCUAGCAACAAGUACCUUAUUCUAAGGGAAAGAAAUAGAUUCUACCGAGCAACUGGCCAAGAUGAAAGAUUUCCCACCUGACUUUCCGUAGCCCACCUCUCCCGGCCCUUUAAGCACCUACGACUGGCUUAAGAUGUCCCACUCCUCCCCUGGGCGGAGCCGACACCACACAACCCGGAUUCCCAACACCUCCCCUUCCUCUGACCUUCAGCUUCCACCCCCUCUGGGGAACAGGAGACACAGAAGAUGGAGGGAGGGAUGGCAGCCUACCCUGUGGCAACGCGGGAGUCGCGUUGCCGCAGGGGGCGCAUUGGGGUCCAGCCGUCCCCAGAACGCAGAUCAGAGGUAGUCGGACCUUUCCCGCUGGCGCGCAGCCUCAGCUAGGGCACACAGAGUGAACAGAAAAAGAGGAUACCUCUGCGAUCCCGGGUCAUCUCCAGAUGCUAGGGUUAUGGGAGGAACAUAGAGGAAAUGUGGUAUCUUAAAGAGCUGUCAUUCUCUUCCAAGCUGAAACUCAAGAGGCUUAGAAGUAUACCUGCAUCUACAGUAUACCUGCAUCUACAAGCCUUCUAUGGAGAGUUGUUCAGUCACUGACCAUGGGUCAUGUGCAAGGAG